GGUUAGCACCACAGUCGCUCAGCAGAGGAGACCAGCGCCAGUCAGCAAGGAGCUGUCUAUGUAUUAAGGCAUCUCCUCCCAGAGUAAAACCUCCCCCGCCCAGCGCCUCCUCACAGCUGGGGAAAGAGAGGAAGAAACUUCGUUCUUGGGCUGUGGGGAGAAGUUUUUAUCCCACUUUAUCCCUGAAAUAUGUUCCGCCCCUGGGUGUCCGUUCUUACACUACUUCCGAUUCUGGGAGGGGCUAAUGGAGAGUCCGUGACACAGCCUGAUGACCGAGUGACUGUGUCCCAAGGGGAACCAGUGCUGCUGAAAUGCAUCUAUGACACUUCCUAUAUUAGUCUCACGCUCUGGUGGUACGAGCAGUACCCAAAUGAAGCCCCUCGCCUCUUGCUGACACAACGUGAAGCAUCGGAUGAGGAGGAGAGAAGGAGCCGGCGAGGGUUCUCCGCCACACCCGACAAACAGGGGAAGACCUUCCACCUGAAGAAAAACUCCAGUGAACUGCGCGACUCCGCCGUCUAUUACUGCGCCAUGAGCGACACAGUGAUUGCGCCCAGCAGAGUCGCUGCACAGAAACCCACUGGGGGAAGAGGAGGCGGCACUAAGGAUGUGUGUGUUAGAGCCCCCGAGGAACAGACUUUGCACAGCGCCGGUGGAGUCAGUGAAUCCCAUCCCCAGGGUGUAAAUGUGCAGAGCUACACAGGAGUCAAUGGGCCAGAUCCCAGACUGCUGGGACUGGGUGGAGCUCAGAGGAAGCAAAUGAUCCAGUUCCUCAAAAUGUUUAAAAUCAGUGAGGAAUUGCACAGGAGUCAGCUGAGCUGCACUGGUUCCUAUCAGCUGAGGAUCUGA